UACGAAGGGGGCUAGCGUUGCUCGGAAUCACUGGGCGUAAAGGGUGCGUAGGCGGGUCUUUAAGUCAGGGGUGAAAUCCUGGAGCUCAACUCCAGAACUGCCUUUGAUACUGAGGAUCUUGAGUCCGGGAGAGGUGAGUGGAACUGCGAGUGUAGAGGUGAAAUUCGUAGAUAUUCGCAAGGAACACCAGUGGCGAAGGCGGCU
rnacentral:rRNA from 1 species